GCAGAAGCCCAGGCUGUGGGAUCUGCAGACAGCCUUCCUCUAUGACUGGGUGCUCCUGUUCAGCUGCACCUCAGCCUGCAGAGAGACAGUCCUUUCUUUAUUGUUUUUGUACAAAAAAAUUAUCUCCAGUUCGAUUAAUCUAAAUUAUCUUUAUGCUGUUACUGCUGGGAGAAAAGCAACUUGUUUCAGAGGGUGGAAAAUGCUUCACAGCUCCCAUGUGGUAGCUCCUUCUGGAGAAACAACAAAGUCUCAGAAGCCCAGAGACCUUUUUAGAGUGGAUAUACACAAACAAAUGAGAUUUGAGCACUUCAAGUAAAAUAAACACUGCAGCCAGAGGAGAAGAGUUUUCCAGCUGCUGCCUCUUUGAAUACCUAUUUGCACUGAAGGGCCUCUAGAUGUGCUUCAGAGGAAGCCUGCCAAAAUUUCAGAACCCUGCUGUUUUUCAGUGAGAACAGGCCACCUCUCAGAUACUGAUCUCAAUAAAAGAGAGUUUUUGUCAUUAAUAGAGACUAAC
rnacentral:lncRNA from 1 species